AGUGAACGCUGGCGGCAGGCCUAACACAUGCAAGUCGAGCGGCAGCGCGUCCGACCACCCUCGGGUGGUCGGAUGGCGGCGAGCGGCGGACGGGUGAGGAAUGCAUCGGAAUCUGCCUCGUUGUGGGGGAUAACGUAGGGAAACUUACGCUAAUACCGCAUACGACCUACGGGUGAAAGUGGGGGACCUUCGGGCCUCACGCGAUGAGAUGAGCCGAUGCCGGAUUAGCUAGUUGGCGGGGUAAAGGCCCACCAAGGCGACGAUCCGUAGCUGGUCUGAGAGGAUGAUCAGCCACACUGGAACUGAGACACGGUCCAGACUCCUACGGGAGGCAGCAGUGGGGAAUAUUGGACAAUGGGGGCAACCCUGAUCCAGCCAUGCCGCGUGUGUGAAGAAGGCCUGGUUGUAAG
rnacentral:rRNA from 1 species